UAUCUCGUCUGUUACUAGUUUCAAAAACAAAAAAGAAAAAAGGCUAAAUUACAAAAAAUCCUUCUUAUUUUAGUCCUGUUGAUGCAACAUAACAAUUAAUCAUUGUUUUUAAUAAUUUUACUUUGUCAAUUUUUUUGUAACUCAAUAACUUACUUACAAAUAGUAGUGUACAAUAAAGAAAAAAAAUUUAAGGAAUAAAUUAUUCUUUCUUUAUCAUUUAUUAUGAGGCAACGUCUUUUAUUAAGUAAAAAUUAAUAAGAUAGAAAGCCGAAGAGAUAACGAUUUUACGGAGAAGGCGAACGGGCAUACUGUGAAGUGAUUAGAGAGUAGCAUUUAAUAAGGAGGAAGCCGAAGAGGCAUCGAUAUUACGGGAAAGGUGAGCAGACAUGUUACAAGAAAGACGAGCAGAUACACAAAGCGAUUGAAGAGUAGAAAUCGGAAAAGAGAGAGACUUUGGAGGUGGGUUCCAUAGGCAAAACUUAAAAAGAACAUGCCAUGUGGACUAAGAUUUUGGAAAUUAAUAGUGUUUUAUAGAUAGAUAUCUAAUCUCACUAGAUUAGGAUCGUGAAAGACUCCUGACGCCCAUGAGUACCUAAUUAAUUAUGCAUUUUUUUUCUUAUAUUUGGAGCACCUAAUUAAUUAUGCAUUUCUUUAAAACAGUGUAAAUUUUAUUUAAAACAGUGUAAUUUUAUUUUAAGAGUGCAAUUCUCAUCAUCUUUUUUCUUCUCCUAUAUUUUUUAAUCUUUUCUAUAAAAAAAUAAUUUUUAUUUUUAUUUUUAUUAUUCUUAUUUUUUUCUAUAAUUUUUUUUUUUUUGUCACCACCUCUUCCUCCCUUGCUUUCUAUCGCAACCACCGCGACGUC
rnacentral:lncRNA from 1 species